rnacentral:rRNA from 1 species
AGUCGGAUUAGCUAGAUGGGGGGGUAAAGGCCUACCAUGGCGACGAUCUGUAGCUGGUCUGAGAGGAUGAUCAGCCACACCGGGACUGAGACACGGCCCGGACUCCUACGGGAGGCAGCAGUGGGGAAUAUUGGACAAUGGGGGAAACCCUGAUCCAGCCAUGCCGCGUGUGUGAAGAAGGCCUUUUGGUUGUAAAGCACUUUAAGCAGUGAAGAAGACUCUUCGGUUAAUACCCGGAGACGAUGACAUUAUCUGCAAAAUAAGCACCGGCUAACUCUGUGCCAGCAGCCGCGGUAAUACAGAGGGUGCAAGCGUUAAUCGGAAUUAC